GUGAGGAAUUUUCCGCAAUGGGCGAAAGCCUGACGGAGCAAUGCCGCGUGAAGGAUGAAGGCCUAUGGGUUGUAAACUUCUUUUCUCAGAAAAGAAUUAUGACGGUAUCUGAGGAAUAAGCAUCGGCUAACUCUGUGCCAGCAGCCGCGGUAAGACAGAGGAUGCAAGCGUUAUCCGGAAUGAUUGGGCGUAAAGCGUCUGUAGGUUGUUUAAAAAGUAUUCUGUCAAAGAUUAGGGCUUAACCCUAGAUAGGCAGAAUAAACUUUUAAGCUAGAGUUUGGUAGAGGCAGCGGGAAUUCCCGGUGGAGCGGUGAAAGGCGUAGAUAUCGGGAGGAACACCAAAGGCGAAGGCACUCUGCUGGGCCAAUACUAACACUGAGAGACGAAAGCGAGGGGAGCAAAUGGGAUUAGAUACCCGAGUAGUCC
rnacentral:rRNA from 1 species